CCUAAGGGAGCGUGAUCCUGCUGGAGGGAGAGUGAUCCUGUCUAAGGGAGAGUGAUCCUGCAGGAGGGAGAGGGAUUCCGCCGGAGGGAGAUCGAUCCUGUCAGAGGGAGAUCGAUCCUGUCUGAGAGAGAGAGAGAGAGAGCGAUCGUGCCGGAAGGAGAGCGAUCCAGUCGGUGGGGGAGUGAUCCUUCCGGGAGGAGAGCGAUCCUGCCGAUGGGAGAGUGAUGUGAUCCUGUCGGAGAGUGUGUGCCCGGGAGUGGGGGGGAGAGCGGCGGGGUCAGUUCUCCAGCGAGAGGCAGCCCUGGAGCAGCGCAGUCUGGGGUGAGCUCGGGCAGCAGCGUCUGCAGCAGCUCCGCGACUUCACUGAGGGUUGGCGGUGCAGUGAUCGAACCUCAGGACAGACCCUGUGUGACCUUCCUGGAUACAAUAUUACACCGUCUUUCCUGGAUACUGCAAAUUCCGACAGGAUGAGCGCUGCUCUGAUCCAGGAACAGCCAGCGGUCAGUUUUGGCUCCCUAACUGUGACAGAAACAGACGAUGCUGGAGACGACGGGUUCAGCCUUAACAGUCAUCUUCUUCCUCUCUCUCCUCUGGAAAACUGAGAUAAAACUACCCAUCUCUUAUCUGAGUUUCUAAGGACAAUUUAGACAUUCUGACCCAUUCAUCAUUUCCUCAUCGAGACUCAAUUGCCUCUCCUUUAACUGACCUGAACCCAUCUGGCAGAACACCAAACACUCUGGGUUUUGAAAAGUAUUAAUUCCAGGCUGCAUAAUAUUUGACAAUCAUGUGGAAGAGCCCCUUUGAUCACUUUGAUAUUUUUCCAUAGUUCGUAACAUUGUGUUGCAAGAAUAAGUAUAGCGAUUGCAUUUGCUUUCGUGCUGUAUUGCCCAAAUGGGAACAAUGAAUUAGCAUCUUUAUUGUCAGUGUACGUGUAUUGUGUGCUGUUGAAAUUAAAUAGUUACCUGGUACUUGAGGUUCAGAAACUAUCAAUAUUGUCAAAAACAGCGAGAAUUUUUUUUAUCAGUUUAAGGCCUAUAAAGUUUAGUCAUUUGAUUAUCAUCAGUCUCAGCAUCCUUUAAAAUCACACAGUCAAACUUUUAAGGAAACCACAAAUAUGAAACAAAAUACAUUGUAAACCUUUAUUUGUUACUCUUUUUUGUUCUCCUCUAGACUUGAGAUUAUUCUAAUGGUUUCUGCGCUGGCUUCUUGCCCCUUACUUUCCAUAAAUUCCAUCCUUCUGCCAUACUUAUUCUGUGCUUUGUUUCUGACAUUAUUGACUGCCAGUCCCCAAUAAAUUGUAUUUAAAAUCUUUAUGCUCAGCUAAAGCUUUUUGCCAUGCUAUCUAUUUAAAAUCCUCCAGCUGUCUAUCCACUCCUGACUGCUUGCUUUUUUGGAGUCCAUCCAUCUACAUUUCUGUCACUAAGAUCUUUCAGUGGUCUCAGUCCCACACUUUGGAACACUGUCCCCACAGCUCUCUGAUUUGUGCUCCUCCUCCACCUUUUAAAACGUUUCUCAAGGCUCACCUCUGACUAAGCUUUCAGCUAGCCUCAUCUACUGAUGGAUUUGCCUCUUAUAUUUUUUACAUUAAGGUACCACUGGGUAGAACAAUCUUGUAUAAAAAGAAACAAAGAAAACCUAUUUUUUUACUGCGCCUUUUGCACCCUCGUGAUUACCCAGAAUCCUUUGCAGCUCACAAAACACUUUUUAACUUCAGUCACUUUGGUGAUGAGAAAAUGAAGCAGCAAAUGUGUGUACAGCAAAAUCCCGCAAAGAGCAAUGUGAUCGUGAUGAGAUCAGAUGCUUAACGAGCUGGUUGCAAGGCCAUAGUAACAUGUUAGAUUAUAACACAAUGGAUACAAUCUUAUAGGGCUCUUAGUGAUGAUGGUUAUGAUAAGACUAUGGCAGAUUAGGAUGGGAUUACCGUCAAAGUCUACCUCAAUGUGUGAUGUACCUCAAUCCAUUUUUUAAAUGAUUCGACUGAGUGACAAAACGAGUUUCUCACUAUGCAGCACAAUGUUGUCGGCAUAAAAGGUAUUUUGGUAGAGUCAUAGAGUCAUAGAGAUGUACAGCAUGGAAACAGACCCUUCGGUCCAACCCGUCCAUGCCGACCAGA